UGCACUAUUGGCAUUCUGCCCCACAGCCAUGUAAAUUUUCCUCCAUCUGAAUGUUCACUGCCGUCUUUUAGAUUCCUCUGCUGACAGUGAAGAGGUCACGCUAAAUCAAACUGACAGAGAAACUGGACAUCAACUUUACCCAGGAUGCCCAAAUUAAUUCUACCGAAACAAAAGGGUCAACCUCACUUUGGCUGGCUUGUCUUCUUGAUUUCUUCGUUGGUGGUGCUAAAGAGAGUUGACGAGAUGGGAAGAAAGUGGCAGGGAUUGCUGAGUCUGAACAUCACUUCUGCUAAGCUUGGAGCAGCACUGAAGCUAUUUUAAACAAGUUUUUAUCUGCUUGCAGGAAGGCAGUAAUCAAGCAAAGCAAAAGCUGGGCAGAAUGAGGCCAUGCAGUCUGAGACAGUGGUUCCAAAUGCAGCAGUUGGUGUGAGCACAAGGAAUAAGUAAGAUAACAAGCUGUAAGCAUGAUUUACAAGCAUGCAGAGAGGCGAGACCCUUUGGGCCUUAUGACUCACUGGACGGGGAGGCUUGGGCAUGCUAAACAACGAAAGUGGCUGUUAGGGUGUGAUUUUU
rnacentral:lncRNA from 1 species